rnacentral:rRNA from 1 species
AGUGAACGCUGGCGGUAGGCUUAACACAUGCAAGUCGAACGGCAGCACAGUAAGAGCUUGCUCUUACGGGUGGCGAGUGGCGGACGGGUGAGGAAUACAUCGGAAUCUACUUUUUCGUGGGGGAUAACGUAGGGAAACUUACGCCAAUACCGCAUACGACCUACGGGUGAAAGCAGGGGAUCUUUGGACCUUGCGCGAUUGUAUGCGCCGAUGUGGGAGUAGCUAGUUGGCGGGGUAAAGGCCCACCAAGGCGACGAUCCGUAGCUGGUCUGAGUGGAGGAUCGGCCACACUGGAGCUGGGACACGGUCCAGACUCCUACGAGAGGCAGCAGUGGGGAAUAUUGGGCAGUGGGCGCAAGCCUGAUCCAGCCAUACCGCGUGGGUGAAGGAAGCGUUCGGGUUGUAAAGCCCGUUUGUGGGGAAAAAAAAGCAGCAGGUUAAGACCCCGCGGGUCUGACGGUACCCGAAGAAUAAGCACCGGCUAACUUCGUG